CAAUUAUUACUUUUUAAUAUGUGUAUAUAUUUUUGAUGACUACAAUAUAAAUUUUUUAUUAAAUAAUUCUUAACCUUAGUUCCUUCUACAUCUGCUAUAAGAGUUACAUCUUCAGCACCUACUACAACUAUUCCAUGUGUUCAACCUUCUGCUGUCGAAUCUACACAGCUUAUCACAGCUACAUUUACGUGUUCAACGAAUGUUCCUUCUACAUCUGCUAUUAGUGGUAUGUUUACAAGUUUCUACUUUUUAAUAUGUUUAUGCUUAUCUUGGCAAUUACAGUAUUUAUUUUUAAUCACAACUUUGAUAACAUUUAGUUACAUCUUCAGCGACUUCUACGACUAGUAAGUUUAAAAACUAUUAUUUGCAAACAUUUACACACCUUUAUUAUCAAUUGCAAAUUUUUAUAGAAACUUUUUUUAUCUUUAUUUCCAUGCGUUUAACUUUCUGCUGGUAAAUUUAUGAUUUAAAAAUGUUUUUGAAUGAUUAUUGAAUUUAUGUUUAUAUUAUACACUAUUUAAUGCAUUAGUAUUGUGUUAUCCCUCAAAGUGCAGUAGAAUGAAAUUAUUACUCUCAUUAAUAUUGUUUAAGAUAUCAUUGAUUAAUACGUUGUUCAUAUUAUUUAUUCAGCCUAUCACUUUUGCAUAAAUUGUUUUAUACUAAAUUUUACAUAAUGCCAUUCAGUACUAAUCUAUUUACGAAUCAUUGUCAUUUAGAGCUAACCUAUCAAGACUAUCUAUUAUAUAGGUCCCAGCAUCUUGGACCCACCAGCAAUAGUUCAUUUAAGCGAUGAGUCCGGAAGGGGUAAUAAUUCUUUUAAAUGGCCCUAAACAUUUAAAAAAUUUUUAUUGACAUUUUUUGCAAGUUUGAAUGAGAAGGGAAGGGGGGCGCUGGGUGUAGCUCACGCCCCUACCUGUACUAACAUAUUAAAAUAAUCUUGAAUACUUGUUUCUCUUUUCCAAUAAACUUAAUUUAAAACUAUUUUUCAAAUAUCUUUUAAAUUUUUUUUUAGGUUGGAUACGACUGGGCAGAAAGGAGGGGGGGGGGGCGUUUGGCGUGGCACAUGUCCCGUCCCUUAUGUCAACUUAUACACCACUUGUAUUUGCUGUAAAGUAAGAAAUUUUAAUUUAAAAUUUUUCAUACAAAAUAUAAUCAUUCUUUUUUAGGUUCAAAUAUUUAUAAGAAUGUAGCAUUUCACUACGAGGGUGUUAAAACGUAACAAAGACAUCCACCCUUCAAUUUAAAAUAGACCACUAAUAUUUGGAAAUAUAUUGGAAGCAAAUUAGAACAAUUUUUUGUGUAUAAAGAUGACAUAUUUUAUCAGAAAAACAUUCUUUC